GCUCAGAUUGAACGCUGGCGGCAUGCCUUACACAUGCAAGUCGAACGGCAGCACGGGUGCUUGCACCUGGUGGCGAGUGGCGAACGGGUGAGUAAUACAUCGGAACAUGUCCUGUAGUGGGGGAUAGCCCGGCGAAAGCCGGAUUAAUACCGCAUACGAUCUACGGAUGAAAGCGGGGGACCUUCGGGCCUCGCGCUAUAGGGUUGGCCGAUGGCUGAUUAGCUAGUUGGUGGGGUAAAGGCCUACCAAGGCGACGAUCAGUAGCUGGUCUGAGAGGACGACCAGCCACACUGGGACUGAGACACGGCCCAGACUCCUACGGGAGGCAGCAGUGGGGAAUUUUGGACAAUGGGCGAAAGCCUGAUCCAGCAAUGCCGCGUGUGUGAAGAAGGCCUUCGGGUUGUAAAGCACUUUUGUCCNGGAAAGAAAUCCUUGGCUCUAAUACAGUCGGGGGAUGACGGUACCGGAAGA
rnacentral:rRNA from 1 species